rnacentral:hammerhead_ribozyme from 1 species
AUCCUGCUGACGAGUUCCAAAUAGGACAAAACGCGCGUCAAAU